rnacentral:rRNA from 1 species
UUAAGGUACGGAGCCGAAGGGAAACCGAGUCUGAAUAGGGCGACUAGUUGCAUGCCGUAGACCCGAAACCGGGUGACCUAUCCAUGGCCAGGUUGAAGCGAGGGUAAAACCUCGUGGAGGACCGAACCACGUUGCUGUUGAAAAAGCAUGGGAUGAGCUGUGGAUAGCGGAGAAAUUCCAAUCGAACCCGGAGAUAGCUGGUUCUCUCCGAAAUAGCUUUAGGGCUAGCGUCGAGUAUGAGUAGUGGAGGUAGAGCACUGAAUGGGCUAGGGGGCAUAGCGCUUACCGAACCUUAUCAAACUCCGA